rnacentral:lncRNA from 1 species
CACUCUCUAAAGGUUGUAACAACUUUCUAAACCCGUACCAUCAGCUGGAGAACCUCCUCUUCAAACACAAGCCUCUAGGGGACAUUUCACACUCAAGCCGUGGCACCUCUUCAGCUUAGCUUGUGCUUUUUCAUAGUCUCUCUGGCACCGUGUGGACUGAGACACAGAACAGAUUCCAUAUUCUGAGAAUUCAAAGGACCGUGAGCCCAACUCUUGAAUUUGAGAAGAUGCUAUUUUUGCUAUACC